GCACUUUCUACUCUCUGCGCAGUAAUUCUCUUGGGCUGGACUUGCUUAUGUGCAGUGGGAAGGCCUUCAGAAGCCUUCUUGCCACUGACUGAAAAGAAAAAAAGGAAGAGUUGCGCUCUUUUUUAUCAGGAGACGCCUUUUCUGAGCUUUGUGCAGUAGGUAAUCCAUGGUAGCAAGGAGAAUAUCCGCUCUUGGUUCUGCUCAAGCUGAACUGAGAAAGGCCACCCAGUAAGCAACGCUCACGGAUUUCCACAGCACUGAAAUACACAGCCACAGCAGUAGCCAGCCUUCUGCUCAUCAACUAAAAUCACCCUGACUGCGCGGAAAAAGAGGUGGCUCUCUCAAGUCUACUGCACACGUCCUGGGGGCCACUUGACUUUGCACUGAAAUACACAGCCACAGCAGUAGCCAGCCUUCUGCUCAUCAACUAAAAUCACCCUGACUGCGCGGAAAAAGAGGUGGCUCUCUCAAGUCUACUGCACACGUCCUGGGGGCCACUUGACUUUGCACUGCCCACUUGCUGCACUGCUGGCAGGACAUGGAGCAGGGAACUGAAAGGAAGGACAGGGCAAGUGUUCUGCUAACAACACCAAGAGAAAAGCUCUAGCAGGAAAUGUGCUAGCACUCAUUUCUUUCCUUGUUCUCAAGUGCUUGAGUAUCUAGGAACUUUCUCACGUGAAUCCACGUACAUCCACAUCUGUACCCUUUCUAUCUCAAGGGCACUAGGUGGGAAAUUGCCCACAUGCUGGCAGUGUAGGUCUCUUUCAAGUUGCAUUCCAAGAUUCCUUGCGUUAAGGCUGCACAGGGGAACUUUGCAAGUUGCUUCAGUGGGAUGGUCAAGGAUUACUGCAGUUGCAAAGCAAAGCAAAGCAGAGACUACUUGUGCGUUUCGAAUGCUAGUUUCUGCAAUGGAGAUCAGAGGAAUAUGUUUGCUCUGCAUUUCUUUUCACUGGGAUGGUCAAGGAUUACUGCAGUUGCAAAGCAAAGCAAAGCAGAGACUACUUGUGCGUUUCGAAUGCUAGUUUCUGCAAUGGAGAUCAGAGGAAUAUGUUUGCUCUGCAUUUCUUUUCACCUGUCUUGUUCUGGGCCUGUCCAGAUCAAAGCGCUGCACUAUUUGCAGGCCUUUGCUCCGGCCACGUGCUGUGGCGGUGCUGUGAGGUACCAUUUGUAA
rnacentral:lncRNA from 7 species